AGCAAUGAAAGCGUGUAGGAUGUUGUGACUGCAGCGUCCAGAGGACCAAGGAGAUCCUGGUAACUCCCAUGCCUGCUUUCAGGAUGACUCAAAAGCAUCCAGUACCAUCCUAAGGGGCAGAAAGCUGAUCUGCUCACAUAUGGGAGGAAAGCUGGGCUCCAAACACUGGCUCCUGGUAGCAAAAAUGAAGCUGCUGGGCAGGAGUGAGAGGAGAUGACGGAGCCCGGAGGAGUGGUGGGUCUUUUUGAUCUAAAGUGGACCCAGUCUCCUAAAUCACAGCUUUGAAAGAUGACAGAGCCAUUCCAUGGAGAUAGUGGGUGCUGGAAGGGUGGGUGUGAGAGCAAGGAGCCCACGUUCCAACCAUGAUGAACAAGCCCCAGAGGGAAGCACAGCACUGCCAGAAACAAGCAGCAAGAAACUCAUUUCAU